GAGUGAGGCAAGAUGAUGGACAAGAAAAACCACCAGCCAGAGUGCCUCUGCAAGAAAGAUAGAUUUUAGAUGAAAGUGGAAAAAAACAAACAGGCAGAAAAACACAGAUCAGAUGAGGCUCAGAAGGAAGGGUGCCUGAAACUACAGAAGAUUCCACAGGAAGAAGUUGUGGAGCAGAACUGGAAGGAGAAAGGGAUCUGCAGGGUCUAAACCCUGAGGAUCUUGGAGACCAGCGACAAGGUGCUGCUGUACUAUAUCAAAUUUAAAUGCCAGUCUCCACAGGCCUCGGCAAGACAGAAGACACAAUCUAUGGAAAGGAGUCAGGUGAAUCAAAAUGCUUCGCCCCUGAGGGCAAGGCAUCAAGACAACUGCAGAGGGCACCGCUAGAACCUGAAUGCAGCUGGCAGAUAUGCUAAAUUUCCAUACAUCAUUAGCUCUUCAAAUCAAUACAAAGUCAAUAGGAUCAAGCUCUACCUUCUCUUCUGCACCAAGAAAAGAUAACAACAAUAUGAAAUGGCAUCGCGAGAAAUUAAAAAUCUCUGUUGUCAAGUAGGUACUCAGAGCUGCCAA